AUCAAUCGUCUUCCCGCGCAGCCCCAUCCCUGUUUUCUGUGCUCCUUCGAGCUUGCUGUUUGUCCGGGUUUUUUACGUUUUAAUUUCCAGGACUUGAACUGCCAUGUCCUCUGAAGAAGGAAAGCUCUUCGUGGGAGGGCUCAACUUUAACACCGACGAGCAGGCACUGGAAGACCACUUCAGCAGUUUCGGACCUAUCUCUGAGGUGGUCGUUGUCAAGGACCGGGAGACUCAGCGGUCCAGGGGUUUUGGUUUCAUCACCUUCACCAACCCAGAGCAUGCUUCAGUUGCCAUGAGAGCCAUGAACGGAGAGGUGGGGCCUCCUAUCUGCAGAGGGACCUUGCCCCCAUCUGCGGCUUCCUUCAUUCUUUUUGUUUUUCCCUCUGUGUCUGCUCGGGGCAGCGUGGCCACCAAGCCCCGCAGUGCCCACUCACAGGAGCAUGACUGCCUUUUGUUCUAGGGGGUGGAGGGCAGCGGCAGACAGAGCCUGGCCGCCUGGGAGGCGACGACUGGUCCUGCAUGAGGCCGAGAAGCCACCUGUGGAUGGUUGACCUGCCUUGGGCUUAGGUAGUAGAGUCUGCAGACCUGUGGGCCUGGCCCGGAGAGGACCUCGUGAGUCUUCUGACAUGGACUCUGAAGCCUCAAACCAAGAGAGGUGUCUGUCUAGCCCUGAUAGUCGGGCAGCUUAGAGGAGUGGGGAGGAGAACUCAGCCUGAGUUCAGUCAAGAUUCUCUGGAUGGUCGUCAGAUCCGUGUGGAUCAUGCAGGCAAGUCUGCUCGGGGAACCAGAGGAGGUGGCUUUGGGGCCCAUGGGCGUGGUCGCAGCUACUCUAGAG
rnacentral:sRNA from 1 species